rnacentral:antisense_RNA from 1 species
AGCCACUGUUAUGCAAAGUUCAAGGGCCUCUCUCACACUUAGCUGGGGGAGGAGUGAAUACAGCCUUUCUGAAGAAAGAAAAAUUAAGUAAUAGCAAAAUCAUUAAGUGUUUAUGAUUCAUAAAUACAAUUUUUGUCAACUAAAAAAAUAAAAUAUGUAGAAGUCAAAAAAGUGUCUAUGAUUCAGAAAUGCCACCGUUAGAAGUUGCCAUAAGAGUGCACACAAAAAGGACAUAUGUGUCAAAGUGUUUGCAGCAGUGUUGUCCCAAAUAAGGACAUUUUGCAACAUUGUGGGGUGGUUAAAAUAACUAUAGAAUAUGCAUUAGAAUACAAUGAAACCAUUAAACAUAAUGUGGAAGAAUAUUGUAUAUUAUAGGGAAAUGCUCAUAAUAUAUAGUGACAAUUUAAAAAGCAGAUUACAAAACAAUAUGCCAAGACAUGAUUUCUGCCCAAGUCUGCCCUGAUGGGUGAGCUAACCAAGGUUGCUGCACUGUGAGGGCAUAGGGGCUGCCCCUCAGCCCCCACCCCAGCCACUGGGCUCCUCAGGAAAGGACAUGUGAGUGUUUACUGCACAUCCUACAGAUGAGGAGCUCACAAGGACCCUGGAUGGGGGAGUCCUCUGAGGUUGCUGGAGCUGCUGCAGCCAUCUUGUCACUGCCAGGGGAGAGCUCUCUCUGAGAGUGAAGGCACAGUGGAGGAAAGCAGAACUAAGAAGAGACAGAGAAAGCGAAAGUGGGAGAGAGAGAGAGAUAUGAGGUGACAAAGUGUGGGUCCUUGGAUCCUGCUUGGUGUAAAGCUAGCCUGCUCCUGGGCUUUACAGAUAAUAAAUUCCUUCCUCAUCAGAUUAACCUGGGUUUUUGUGGCUUGUAACCAAAAGGGUCUGCACGGCCCACACACAGGCUCCCAGCUCAUUUCCUUUGCAAUGAGUGGUAACUGGAGGCGGGCGGUGCAUGGACCUGCCUUGCAAGGCUUCUCUGUUAGUGGUGCCUGAAGCCCACUCUCUCAGCUGGCACAGCCAGUGUGACACAUCAGUCCGGGUGUGUCUUGGACCUACCCCCUUUCUGGGUGCAAACCAGAACUGAGGAUCCCGAGGAUGGUGGGGGGGUAGUUUCCUGCCUCAGGGCUGUGCUCCUGCUACCCCUUUGCCUAAAAUUCUCCCCUCUCUGUGCUCCCAGGGCCAGCUCCUCUGUAUGCUCUGUGAUUCUUUGAACAGCGCCCCCUCUGAGAAGCCUUCCCUGACCACCUGGCUGAGGACAUCAUUCUGUCCCAGCUUCCGUUUGCUUUGGGAGUGGCCUCCUGACACUUCACUUCCAUGAGGCAGGGACCAGUUCUGUCCUGGUGACUGCUGUAUCCCCAGCUCUAGAUAAGGCCUGAGACAUUGUAGGAGUGCCAGGGAUCUUUGGUUACUGAGAAAACGAGCAGCUAGAUCAAGGUUCCCAACACCAACACGCUGGGGACAUGUUGGGAGUCAACUUAGCCCUACCAGCAGGUGGAACUAGUUUUGCUGCUCCAAAACAGAGUUCUAGCUAUGGGGACAGCCACUAGACAGCAGAGCUAAGGCCAUGCUAUGCUGAGGGGCCACAGUCUGCCCUGAACUGUGCCUCCCAGCCUGGAGCUAGUGAGGGGGCCGAAUCUGGGAGCUGACAGAUGGGGGCUCGGCGUGGGGACUUUUGGAGGGGAGGGCAUUUUCUUGAUCUUACCAUGGGGACAACAGCUAGAUGGGUGGGGGGGACCCACUCAAGGACAUACUGCGGCUUCAGGCUUCUACGAGCCCAGAACGCUCGCUCCAUCUGAGGGUCUUGAUAUCAGGGUGUGGCGUCAGGAGCCGGAGCCUACGGGUUGAAAGCCAAGAGUGGGCAAUCAAAGCUGAAACCAGGCCCACGACUUAGGAGCUGGAGAGCACACAGGGCUGAACACUCGACUUGGGGACCAGGAAACCAGGGAGCAAAGUCUCCAGGGUGCUUGGGCAAGACCCCAGAUGGUCUGCAGCAACGCACAGGCAACACGGGAUGAUCAGCGCUACGUGGUGAGAAACUUACCUCCUUUUGCAGGACAACAUUUUCCAGUCCUUCUGAGUAAAUCAAAGAGAAGUCUCAGCUUGGUGAUUGCAGGUCUCUAAUGCUUAUUUCUCUGUCUCUGUCUCUCUCUCUUUUAACAAAAGCCUACCAGCGGCCUCAGGCUCAGGGCCUGUCUCAGGUAAAAGCGGGUUAGGGUAUAAUAACAGUGAUCGGUUUCAUUGUGUUUAUUUUUAUAGCUACUUUCUAAUUAUAGCAAGUGAUUCUGAGUUUCCAUUUAGGAUAGUAAUAGGAAGUUUCUUUUUCAAGUAAAUGUGCAUAAGUAAAAGGAGACUGCUCAAAGGAAACCAGCUGGUGAUUGAUAGAACAGGCUGUGGCAUUGUUGGGCCCCAGAGGGAAGGGCAGUGUGAGCAUGCAGGACGUUCUGGGAAGGCAGCUAAAUGCAGUUGCUGCAUGGGGGCCAGGAAGCAUUUGGAGACGUGGCUGGGCACAGCUUGGCUUUUGAGCCCAAGAGAGGCCUGCUGGGGAUGUGUUGAGAGCCAACCUACCCCUACCAGCAGGUGGAACUGGUUUUGCUGCUCCAAAGCAGAGUUCCAGCUAUGGGGACAGCCACUAGAGAGCAGAGCUAAGGGCAUUCUAGGCCAAGGGGUCACAGUCCACCCUGAACUGUGCCUCCCAGCCUGAAGCCAGAAAGCUCAGGGAGGCUAGCGGCCCUGCCCAGGCCUCAGCACUGACCCUGCACCCCCAGGCCCAGCUGGAUGACCCCUAAGAGCUUCCUGGAAUUUGGAUGCAGGGUUAUUCUGUGUGUGCUGCCUCUCAGAGCAUGUCACUUUGACGUGGACAUCUCGGGUCUGGUUCUGGUGCUGUCCCUGUCUCGCCACGUGACCCUGGAUAAGUCAUCUCUCCAGGCCUUGAUUUCCCCAUCUGUAAACAGAGGUGAGUGAAAUGAUCUUUAAAGGUGUGUCAGUCCAUUUUGCAUUGCUAUAAAGGAAUACCUGAGGUUGGGUAGCUUAUAAAGAAAAGAGGGUUAUUUGGCUCACAGUUGUGCAGGCUGUACAGAAGCAUGGCACCAGCAUUGCUUCUUGUGAAGCUUCAGGAAGCUUCCAUUUAUGGUGGAAGGGGAAGGGGAAGUUCGUGACUUACAUGGCAAGAGAGGGAGCAAGAGCCAUGUCAGGCUCUUCUAAACAACCAGCUCUCAUGUAAACUAACAGAGUGAGAACUCAUUCAUUACCACGGGGAGGGCACCAAGCCAUCCAUGAGGGACCUGCCCCCAUGAGCCAAACAUCUCCCACCAGGCCACACCUUCAACACUGGGAGUCACAUUCAGCAUGAGAUUUGGAGGUGACCACCAUGCAUCCAAACCAUAUCAAGGACCCAUUUCGGUGAGGGGACCAGGAACAUAUCCCUUCCCCUCUCCUCCACAUCCUUUAAUGUGGGGCUCAGCAAGGAAAGUAGGGCUUGGGUCAAAUUAAAGCCUGGGCUUAAUUUCCUGGUCCAGUUAUUAGCUGUGUGACCCUGGGCAAGUCACUUAACCCCCUCAGGUUACAAUGUUACAAAUGAUCCCAUUUUCCUCAACUGAAAAAUGGGAUAGGAACAUGUCCCAAGCAGAGCUGGAGUGACGGUGCUAUCAAUGGCCCGGCAGUGCCUGGUCACACAGUAGGCCUGGGGAGCCCUGACUUUUACCGCACAGGGAGCUGCUUGCAGAGCUUGUUUUCAAUUGUGGGCUUGGCAGGGAACUGCCGGCAUCCCAGGGGACAGGGUCUCAUGAGGAUACCUAAUUCCAGCUCAAAGUGGAGACCCCAGGACUCCAUCACAGCCAGUGGGGGGGAGUGGCUGCUGCAGCAGGGAGGGCUUCAUUGGAAUGAACCCCUUUAAGCUUCAGUCCAAAUGCCCAGAGUGGUUUUGCAGGUAUGGUUGUGAGGCUGGCAUGGUAGUCCCAUCUGCAGUCCCCUGGGAUGAGGCACCUGUACGGUAGAGGGCCCGGGUGGAGAGGAGAGAAGAGAAGGAUGGGGAUGAACCCAGGACCACAGACGGCCCAGUUCCAUGGAUGAUUUUCACUGAGGUGCCUUCAAGUCAGUUCAACACUGGGCUUCUCAACCUUUGAGGUAUGCAGGUAAGAGUCACCUGCGGCAGUGGGGGAUGCUCUUGUUAAAGUGCAGACUCCGAUUCAGCAGGUCUAGGGUGGGGCCUGAAAUUCUGUGUUCCUAACAAGGCUCCAUCUUGGGUAUGGAGGUCAGGUACCCCCUCACCUCUCCUGUGGACCCAGCUUCUGAGGGGUCAGGAGAAGAAUGUUCAGUCCCAGCUGCCACCACUCUAAAGUCCCCUAGAAACAAGGACUAAUACAGGUGGCGUGGGAGAGGGCCCAGGCAAACAGGGAGGUGGGGUACCCCGGUGGGGCUGCAGUGGGCCCCGCGGAAAGCUUGCUGGAGGUGGGGGCCUAAGGAAUUCAAGGACUUGUUCCAGGAACCCAAGGAACGAGUGGGCUCUAACUGCUGCAGCAUAUGGGAGAUGCCAGGAGGAGCUGGCUGUGGCAGGCCAUCCCAGGCCAUCAGACAACUUGUAGUGGAUGAAGAUGCAGUGUCCAUGGCCAGAAGAAACUCCCAUGGAUGCUCAGGCCAAGGCUGCCAGAAGCACGAGGAGGGGCAGCAUUGAGUGUCAUCGGGAAGAGGCAAGGUGAUGGUCCUGAAGCUGCCCCAUGUGGCCAGUCCCUUUUUGGGAAGCCUGAAUAAAUCCAUUUCCUGUGCACUGUGUGGGAAGCCCGCCCCCCCCAACACCCCACACAUAUCAUCUAUCUGUGAUUUUGAGAUGACUUUUUUUUCACAUUUCAGCACCUCUGAACUCAACAGGAUCCUACACUUCUUGUAGGCCUGGCUUGAUGCUGACAUCCUUCAGCCCCAGGGAAGACCUAAAGAUCUCCAGGUCUUGAGGCACCUGGAACACCUCCACCUGAGACCACUUUAACAUGAUUUCUCUGCUUGAGGGAUUUUGGCCCAUGCUGUGUGUAUUCAGCCCUAAAACAUGGGUGAGUGCCCGCUUGCAGUUCAAAUUCUCAGAGGAAGUUCCCUGUACUCCACUCAGUGCCAAGUUUAGUUUGUGCAAAUUUCCUUAAUGUCCCCUCCUGUACAACAGGCUUAUUUGGUGUUAACCCUCAUAUUGGGGGUCUAACUCUUCGGUUUUCCAGCUUUUUUGCUGGAAUAUCCCAUUAAACUGUCCAUGUUGGGUAUUUUUUCUUUGUUAGUAAACAUUUGUUGCAUAUUGU